GAGCGAACGGACGAGAAGCUUGCUUCUCUGAUGUUAGCGGCGGACGGGUGAGUAACACGUGGAUAACCUACCUAUAAGACUGGGAUAACUUCGGGAAACCGGAGCUAAUACCGGAUAAUAUUUUGAACCGCAUGGUUCAAAAGUGAAAGACGGUCUUGCUGUCACUUAUAGAUGGAUCCGCGCUGCAUUAGCUAGUUGGUAAGGUAACGGCUUACCAAGGCAACGAUGCAUAGCCGACCUGAGAGGGUGAUCGGCCACACUGGAACUGAGACACGGUCCAGACUCCUACGGGAGGCAGCAGUAGGGAAUCUUCCGCAAUGGGCGAAAGCCUGGCGGAGCAACGCCGCGUGAGUGAUGAAGGUCUUCGGAUCGUAAAACUCUGUUAUUAGGGAAGAACAUAUGUGUAAGUAACUGUGCACAUCUUGACGGUACCUAAUCAGAAAGCCACGGCUAACUACGUGCCAGCAGCCGCGGUAAUACGUAGGUGGCAAGCGUUAUCCGGAAUUAUUGGGCGUAAAGCGCGCGUAGGCGGUUUUUUAAGUCUGAUGUGAAAGCCCACGGCUCAACCGUGGAGGGUCAUUGGAAACUGGAAAACUUGAGUGCAGAAGAGGAAAGUGGAAUUCCAUGUGUAGCGGCGAAAUGCGCAGAGAUAUGGAGGACGCCAGUGGCGAAGGCGACUUUCUGGUCUGUAACUGACGCUGAUGUGCGAAAGCGUGGGGAUCAAA
rnacentral:rRNA from 1 species